UACGUAGGGUGCGAGCGUUAAUCGGAAUUACUGGGCGUAAAGUGUGCGCAGGCGGCAGAGCAAGUCGAGUGUGAAAGCCCCGGGCUUAACUUGGGAAUUGCGCUCGAAACUACGUGGCUGGAGUGCGGCAGAGGAAGGUGGAAUUCCACGUGUAGCGGUGAAAUGCGUAGAGAUGUGGAGGAACACCAAUGGCGAAGGCAGCCUUCUGGGCCGACACUGACGCUCAUGCACGAAAGCGUGGGGAGCAAACAGG
rnacentral:rRNA from 1 species